UACGUAGGGUGCGAGCGUUAAUCGGAAUUACUGGGCGUAAAGCGUGCGCAGGCGGCCCGUUAAGUCAGGUGUGAAAGCCCCGAGCUUAACUUGGGAAUUGCGCUUGUGACUGGCGUGCUGGAGUGUGGCAGAGGGAGGUGGAAUUCCACGUGUAGCGGUGAAAUGCGUAGAGAUGUGGAGGAACACCGAUGGCGAAGGCAGCCUCCUGGGCCAGCACUGACGCUCAGGCACGAAAGCGUGGGGAGCAAACAGG
rnacentral:rRNA from 1 species